CCAGGUAACAGACUGGGACUGUCAUGGUGUCAGGUAACAGACUGGGACUGUCAUGGUGCCAGGUAACAGACUGGGACUGUCAUGGUGCCAGGUAACAGACUGGGACUGUCAUGGUGCCAGGUAACAGACUGGGACUGUCAUGGUGCCAGGUAACAGGCUGGGACUGUCAUUGUGCCAGGUAACAUCAGGCUGUUUGAAACAGACUUUCAGACCAUUAAGGAGCGAGCAGAGAGAGAGAAGGACACCACCAGUGACAUGCCCUCCCACAAGACAAACUCCACCAACACCACCCUCACCCCUACUCUCCCCACCCAAAAAGGCACAUCCAGCACCACCCUCACCCCUACUCUCCCCACCCAAAAAGGCCC
rnacentral:lncRNA from 1 species